rnacentral:rRNA from 1 species
UACGGAGGGUGCAAGUGUUAUCCGGAUUUACUGGGUUUAAAGGGAGCGCAGGCGGAUUAGUAAGUCAGUGGUGAAAGCCUUGAGCUUAACUCGAGAACUGCCAUUGAUACUAUUAGUCUUGAAUGUUGUUGAGGUUUGCGGAAUGGGUCAUGUAGCGGUGAAAUGAUUAGAUAUGACAUAGAACACCAAUUGCGAAGGCAGCUCACUACGGAAUUAUUGACACUGAGGCACGAAAGCGUGGGGAUCAAACAGG